GGGUUCGCGGCGGAAGGUCCGAAGAUUAGGAUAAGAGCUUUUGUGGAAGGCGGAGCUGGAAUCUGCUGUGGCGCGAACAGAGGAGCUGUGGCGAGGAAGGACUUGGUGUUCGAGCCUCUCUCUGAGGACUCGCACAGGCUCUGGUGCCAGAAGCUCGGGGAUUACAUCGAUUCUCUCGGUCAGAUUUUAAAGCAGCUAUCAUAGAUAAGUAGCAGGGAGGUUCUAACUUCUAAGUUUAAACAAGAGCUCAAUAACAAACAGGAUGGAUGGUUCUGGUAGUGGUAGUGGUAGCCAAUCACAAUCUACUAGUACACCUAGGAUCUCGGUUUUAGUAAAACGAAAACCACAGUACAUUCGAACUCAAGAAUACUUUGAAGAUUAUUGUGAUGAUGAUCCGGAUAUGGAUGCUGAUAUAGGGUUAGAAGAAAUAGAUGAAGAAAUAGAGGAAGAAGAAGGUGAGGAGGAGGAGGAUAGUGUUGAAUUGGACAGGUGGCAAAUGCCUACAAUUGACGAUUGACGAUCUUAUGUUCUACAAGGAACUUGAAGAGUUGGAGAAGGAGUUGCCUAAUAUGGGAGGUGAGGAGAAUCCCACACAAGGUGAAAUGCCACCUCCUCCACCACCUCAAGUUCAACGCCGUCCAUCAUUACCUCCACGACCACGACCACCCAUUUCAAGAGCAUCUAAUCCAACACAAAGGAGGGUUCAAUUAUCAACAAGAGGAAGGGGUCCAUCACCACCAUCAACACCAACGUCAACGGGUCAUUCAUCAACAAGGGGAAGAGGCCGAAGGGGCUAAAGGAAAUGAACUACGUUUAUAAACUAUGUUUUUCUUUUGGUUUGUAAUUUAAUCUAAAUUCAUUCGGAAGUUUGGUUUGUAAAAUUUAACUUAUUUCA